rnacentral:rRNA from 1 species
UUCGCAAUGCCCGAAAGGGUGACGAAGCGACGCCGCGUGCGGGAAGAAGGCCUUCGGGCUGUAAACCGCUGUCGGGAGUUAGGAAAUGCAAGGAUGUUAAUAGCGUCCUUGCUUGACUAAGGCUCCGGAGGAAGCCACGGCUAACUCUGUACCAGCAGCCGCGGUAAUACAGAGGCGGCAAGCGUUGUUCGGAAUUAUUGGGCGUAAAGAGCACGUAGGCGGCUGUGUAAGUCGGUUGUGAAAGCCUUCCGCUUAACGGAAGAACGGCAUCCGAUACUGCAUAGCUUGAGUGCGGGAGGGGAGAGUGGAACUUCUGGUGGAGCGGUGAAAUGCGUAGAUAUCAGAAGGAACACCGGCGGCGAAGGCGACUCUCUGGUCCGUAACUGACGCUGAGUGUGCGAAAGCUAGGGGAGCAAACGGGAUUAGAUACCCUGGUAGUCCUAGCCGUAAACGAUGGGCACUAAGUAGAGGGGUUUUA